UCGCAUCUUCUCAUCCACCGGAGCCACCCCCACCUUCUCUCGAAUAACUUCAUUCUUAAUCUUAUCUAACAUGGUGAGCCUGCACAUCCACCUGAGCAUCCUCAUCUCCGCAACCUUCAUUCUCUGAACAUGAGAGUUCUUCACUGGCCAGCACUCCGCCCCAUUGAACAAUGCAGGUCUAACCACAGCUCUAUAAAAUUUCUCCUUGAGUUUCUGUGAAACUUUCUUGUCACACAGGACUCCUGAUGCAAGCCUCCACUUUGACC
rnacentral:lncRNA from 1 species